rnacentral:rRNA from 1 species
UCGAGGAUCUUCGGCAAUGGGCGCCAGCCUGACCGAGCGACGCCGCGUGCGCGACGAAGGCCUUCGGGUUGUAAAGCGCUGUCGGGGGGGCGGAAGCCGCAAGGUUGACUGCCCCCCGGAGGAAGCACGGGCUAAGUUCGUGCCAGCAGCCGCGGUAAGACGAACCGUGCGAACGUUGUUCGGGAUCACUGGGCUUAAAGGGCGCGUAGGCGGGCUGUCAAGUCCGUGGUGAAAGCCCCCGGCUCAACCGGGGAACGGCCGCGGAUACUGGGAGUCUGGAGGGGGGUAGGGGCGCGCGGAACGCCGGGUGGAGCGGUGAAAUGCGUUGAUAUCCGGCGGAACUCCGGUGGCGAAAGCGGCGCGCUGGGCCCCCCCUGACGCUGAGGCGCGAAAGCCAGGGGAGCGAACGG